UGCCCUGAUGAUACUGACAUUAGGAAGUGCCGUCUGAUGCGAUAACUGACGAUUUUCACGUCAUCUGACC